rnacentral:rRNA from 1 species
GAUGAACGCUGGCGGCGUGCCUAAUACAUGCAAGUCGAGCGAACAGACGAGGAGCUUGCUCCUCUGACGUUAGCGGCGGACGGGUGAGUAACACGUGGAUAACCUACCUAUAAGACUGGGAUAACUUCGGGAAACCGGAGCUACUACCGGAUAAUAUAUUGAACCGCAUGGUUCAAUAGUGCAUGACGGUUUUGCUGUCACUUAUAGAUGGAUCCGCGCCGGAUUAGCUAGUUGGUAAGGUAACGGCUUACCAAGGCGACGAUGCGUAGCCGACCUGAGAGGGUGAUCAGCCACACUGGGACUGAGACACGGUCCAGACUCCUACGGGAGGCAGCAGUAGGGAAUCUUCCGCAAUGGGCGCAAGCCUGACGCAGCAACGCCGCGUGAGUGAUGAAGGUCUUCGGAUUGUAAAACUCUGUUAUUAGGGAAGAACAACUGUGUAAGUAACUAUGCAUGUCUUGACGGUACCUAAUCAGAAAGCCCCGGCUAACUACGUG